CCUCCCCCUCCGGCUUUUAUGUAGCUCACUAGAGGAAGCACUUUUUCACCCCCUCAGUCCUGCCCACUGAACUCGAAGAUCUGUUGAGUGACAUGCAUAGAAGCAGAUUUCUCUCAUAACCACUAGAAACUAUAAGGUGGAGUGUGGUUUUCUCUGAAAUGUUGGUAUAUGAUGAAGUUAGGAUCAGUGGUGUUAGAGGCUGGCCAAGAGCAUUUUAAGCUGCUUGAGUGCCUGGUUCUGCAAAAUCCUAGAGCCAGCGCUCUCUGAGAGUGCCUCUAGUCCUUUGUCAAACUUAUUGGAAAUCUCUGCAUGCUAGAAGAAGCUUGCUUUCUGGGUUUGUGCCCAGAGGAGUCUGCAGGCAGUAGGCUGCUGUAGUCUGAGCACAGGCCCUCAGAGCUCACCCUCCCGUGUCCUUACCGUGCUCCCUCCCCUCGUGUUUUCUCAUCCCCGUGUAUCUCCCAUUCACUCUUCACACCUAGCACUCAGAGUUCAGAGUCCAAAUUGCUUGGCUGAUGGGUAAGAUGCUCAAGCUAGCUGUGAACAACAGCCAUUUCUUCCCAUUCUCCUGGCUUGGUCCAGGGACAUUUCCUGUCUGUCUGAAGAGAAGUGAGCAGUGCUAUCCUGGAAUGUUAGCCAGUGCUCCUAGGAUUCUUUCAUUCCCCAUUUGUCAGUGGCUAGGGAGGAGGGGUGCCAGUUCAGGGUCUUUCUGUGCCUUUCCUUUGCGGGUUGGUGGUCUGGGCCACCCUGAAACAGCAAACUGGACAUGAGCAGGUGAGAACGUACCAUGUCCUUCACCUCCUCAGCUGUUUACAUAAGUUAACACAAACCUGCUUGUCUGUGGAGACUUGAACAUGACUCCAUAACAUUAGAGGAGAGCUGGCUAGUUUGCAUGCUGGUCCUCAGCAAUAUGUGCAGAUCCUGUUUUACACACAUUGUCCAGACCACGAAAAUGUGGCCUGUGUUCACCUGAAUCUCCCUCGUUAGUUACUCAGUGCUUCUGAAUUCUGUUGCAACUACGGGAAUGGAGUGAGUUACACAUGGUGCCCUUCUACAAGUACAUCUAAGACAUUGCACAUUAGACAGCUUGCAAGCUAGUGGGCAGUAGACGGCCAUUCGUCAGUUUUACCACAUGGUCACUGGGGCAUCCGGACCACCCAGGAGGCAAAAGGUGGGGUGUGCACAGCUGGGGUACCACCAGCGAGACAGACCUUCAGAAUCUGUCCCUGGCUGGUAUGGCAUGUAAAAGGCUGGAAACGCUGGUCGGACUGCCAGCAUCUCGAAGCACAGGGCUAGAGAGACCCAACUCCAUCCUUGUCCUGGGAAUGGAGGAGGGAAACUGCCUCAAGGUUCACCGGGCCUGUCCAGACUCAGCCACACCCGUCUUACCAUUAUGUUUCCCAAUGGUCACCCAGCCUCAGCGGCACCUUAGUUAGUGUCCUCAGACCCUGUGGUCACUGACUGUGACUGGAGGUAGUGGCUGCUGGCAUGUAGACUGGUUCUGUAAUGGGAAUUGGUAGAAUUUCUGAGGAUGGGGACUUCCCACCCAAGUGACUGAGAAGCUUCUAUUAAGCACAACGUACUUAGCUAUGGCUCGACUCCAGAAGUUUAGUGUUUUCAUGAUUAUGGGGAAAGAAGAGAAAUCUCAGGUCCAGCCACAUUUCAGAUAUUUUCUUGGCCACCUUUCAGUCUCGCUAGAGCAGCCUCCUCCCUCCCACUAGUGCCUGUCUUUUUUUCCUCUCCCUGCCGUCAGGUCCCAUCCCUCCUCUCUCCCCAUCCAUCUAGAUGUACCUCAUCACCUGUUGAAGCAGAUCGUGUCUGUCUUUCCUGCUGCCCUUACUGUAAGAGCUGACUGAGGGAGGUGCAGUGGGAAGAGAUGUAGCUUUUGCCUUACUCGAGCCUGAAGAGCUCAGAAACUCAUGCUGUGAAUCCUAAACUUUGUGCUCCUCCAAGAGCUGUGAAAAUCAUGACUUUUUUUUCCCCCCACAAUUUUGCCUGAAAGGGUCUUUUGUGAGGGCUCCAGAGCCAACCUGAGGUCAAUUCUAGAUCCCACUCUCUGGGCAUCCUUCCCCUGGGCAUAUCCUCUGCCCACCAGGCUAAGAGCAGCAGCAAGUCUGCAGGACCGUGGCAUGGCAGCAAGUCCAGGGCUGCAGUGCGGCCAAGGGGACACGGCCCUUGAUCUCCCCAGGCUGGGGCUCUGUCUCCUCUGUACCAUGUGCAUUAAGAUCUGUGCAAGACCAACUUUUAGGUCGUGAUACUUUCCUCCUGGUACCUGGGGGCGAGGGGAGUAUGCGGUUGGUGCUUUCUUUAAUAUCUUUAGUUUGUUUCUAUAGCUUUUCCCCUGGUAUCAUGAAAAGGGCCUUUUUAAUGACCACGUUGUGGGUGGCUGUAUCCAAAGCAUAAUAAUUGGCCAGAGGUAUGGAGUGUCCUCACCUGGAUUCCUGUCAGGAGAGGACUUCUUUCCUGGACUGAGCUUCUAUCUAGACUGGCUAGGAAGGAAGACUUAAAAUUUUUUUUCAAAUCACAAUUAAUUAAUAUUCCAAUUUAGCCGCACUUUGUCCAGCAAAAACUAUCUUGGUUGUGAAGCUGGGGUCCUCAUUCAUCCAGCCCAGCAUGCUAAAAUCUGAGGCUUGCUCUGUCUUUAUAAGACUGUCUGGUGUUGGUUGGGUUUGAAUUUUCAACAAGAGGCCCCUUGAGCUGGGAUCUGGGCCAGUAAGUUGCUGUCCCAAGUGUUCCUGUAUUAUCAUGGCUAAUAGUUCAGUGAAAUGUGUCCAUCUUUGGUAAUGCUAGUAUACAUGAUACCCUACAGUUCCUUUUCUGUUUGAAAGUUUGUGACUCUAAAUGCCCACUGUUACAUUAAUUAAUUUAUGGAAAUAAAUUUUUCUUGAAAACCAUUCAGAUAAUCGUCAAGGCUAUUUUGUUCCUUAGGGCUGGGUAGUAGAUUGGAAUUUUACCAGUAAUGUUCCAGGCAGAUUAGACAUGCUCCCACCUAAUAGGUGUGCUUGCUGCUCCUGUGCCAGGACCUCCCUCACAUUCCCGCAUGCUCACCUCCAUCAUCACCCAGAUCUGUGCAUUCCCAGAUCAUUGGUCUUGAACGUGGUCCCCUCCCAUUCCAUAUCUGCUGCCCGCACACCCCAGAGCUUUUUGCUAUGGCUCCACCUCUCUGUGCUAAACUGUAACAAAAGCUCUUCAGGAUCAGGACCUUGUAUUUUCUUAGCUCUAGUCCCUUCUGGUCUCUUUGGUACCUAGAACGACGUUUGGUCAUUUACAGCUGUUCACCGCCUAAACAUCACUUUGGUCAAUAAACUGCAUAUUACCAUCUUAUGGUAAUAGAGCUGAACAGUUCCUGGGGCCUAGUGAGGUCACAGCUGUGAUGAUGUGUAUUACUCAGGUCUUGGUGUUGGUGCAAACAAUCCAGUGCAUUGCCAGUCUUGUAAAAAUGUAGCACAACUGUGUACAGUAUACUUGAUAGUGCUAAUAAAUGACUCACUGACCUAUGUAAGUCUUUAUUGU
rnacentral:lncRNA from 1 species